GACGAACGCUGGCGGCGUGCUUAACACAUGCAAGUCGAACGGUAAGGCCCCAGCUUGCUGGGGUACACGAGUGGCGAACGGGUGAGUAACACGUGGGUGACCUGCCCCGCACUUCGGGAUAAGCCUGGGAAACUGGGUCUAAUACCGGAUAGGACCGCACCGUGAGGGUGUGGUGGAAAGUUUUUCGGUGUGGGAUGGGCCCGCGGCCUAUCAGCUUGUUGGUGGGGUAAUGGCCUACCAAGGCGGCGACGGGUAGCCGGCCUGAGAGGGUGGACGGCCACAUUGGGGCUGAGACACGGCCCAGACUCCUACGGGAGGCAGCAGUGGGGAAUAUUGCACAAUGGGCGGAAGCCUGAUGCAGCGACGCCGCGUGGGGGAUGACGGCCUUCGGGUUGUAAACUCCUUUCACCAUCGACGAAGGUUUUCUGACGGUAGAUGGAGAAGAAGCACCGGCUAACUACGUG
rnacentral:rRNA from 1 species